rnacentral:rRNA from 1 species
ACCAAUUGAAAGCCUAGCUUUCAUGUCGUUAGCGGCGGACGGGUGAGUAACACGUGGGUAACCUGCCCUAUAGACUGGGAUAACUCGCGGAAACGCGUGCUAAUACCGGAUAACACAUCAAAGUGCAUGCUUUGAUGUUGAAAGAUGGUUCUGCUAUCACUAUAGGAUGGGCCCGCGGCGCAUUAGCUUGUUGGUGGGGUAACGGCCUACCAAGGCGACGAUGCGUAGCCGACCUGAGAGGGUGAUCGGCCACACUGGGACUGAGACACGGCCCAGACUCCUACGGGAGGCAGCAGUAGGGAAUCUUCCACAAUGGGCGAAAGCCUGAUGGAGCAACGCCGCGUGAGCGAAGAAGGUCUUCGGAUCGUAAAGCUCUGUUGUAAGGGAAGAACAAGUGCAGUAGUAACUGGCUGCACCUUGACGGUACCUUACUAGAAAGCCACGGCUAACUACGUGCCAGCAGCCGCGGUAAUACGUAGGUGGCAAGCGUUGUCCGGAAUUAUUGGGCGUAAAGCGCGCGCAGGCGGUUUCUUAAGUCUGAUGUGAAAGCCCCCGGCUUAACCGGGGAGGGUCAU